rnacentral:sRNA from 1 species
CAAUUAGCGAAAGGAGGUGGUCUGAUGUCUCAUUGUCAUAAGCCGCAUGCGGCCAAUCGAGUGAGCAUGGCCUUCAUCGCAGGGGGCCGGUUCGUCUGAACUGACCGCAUGCUGUAGACAAUGGAAGGGCCGCCCGAUGGGCGGCCCU